rnacentral:pre_miRNA from 1 species
AAUAAAUGACGUCGUUGACUUUUUUUCACAUGUUUGACCAUUCGUCUUAUUCAAAAAAUUUAUGUAAUUAUAAUUUAUUUUGUUAUGAGUUGUUUUUAUCACUCAUAUACUUUAAGUGUAAUUUAUAUCUUAUAUAUUUGCAUAAAAUUUUUGAAUAAGACGAAUGGUCAAAAAUAUGAGAAAAAGUUAACGGCGUCAUCUAUU